rnacentral:rRNA from 1 species
CCUACGGGGUGCAGCAGUGGGGAAUAUUGCACAAUGGGCGCAAGCCUGAUGCAGCCAUGCCGCGUGUAUGAAGAAGGCCUUCGGGUUGUAAAGUACUUUCAGCGGGGAUGAAGGGAGUAAAGUUAAUACCUUUGCUCAUUGACGUUACCCGCAGAAGAAGCACCGGCUAACUCCGUGCCAGCAGCCGCGGUAAUACGGAGGGUGCAAGCGUUAAUCGGAAUUACUGGGCGUAAAGCGCACGCAGGCGGUUUGUUAAGUCAGAUGUGAAAUCCCCGGGCUCAACCUGGGAACUGCAUCUGAUACUGGCAAGCUUGAGUCUCGUAGAGGGGGGUAGAAUUUCAGGUGUAGCGGUGAAAUGCGUAGAGAUCUGAAGGAAUACCGGUGGCGAAGGCGGCCCCCUGGACAAAGACUGACGCUGAGGCGCGAAAGCGUGGGGAGCAAACAGGAUUAGAUACCCGAGUAGUC